GACGAACGCUGGCGGCGUGCCUAAUACAUGCAAGUAGAACGCUGAAGGAGGAGCUUGCUCUUCUGGAUGAGUUGCGAACGGGUGAGUAACGCGUAGGUAACCUGCCUGGUAGCGGGGGAUAACUAUUGGAAACGAUAGCUAAUACCGCAUAACAGUAGAUGUUGCAUGACAUUUGCUUAAAAGGUGCAAUUGCACCACUACCAGAUGGACCUGCGUUGUAUUAGCUAGUUGGUGGGGUAACGGCUCACCAAGGCGACGAUACAUAGCCGACCUGAGAGGGUGGUCAGCCACACUGGGACUGAGACACGGCCCAGACGCCUACGGGAGGCAGCAGUAGGGAAUCUUCGGCAAGAGGCGGAAGUCUGACCGAGCAACGCCGCGUGAGUGAAGAAGGUUUUCGGAUCGUAAAGCUCUGUUGUAAGAGAAGAACGAGUGUGAGAGUGGAAAGUUCACACUGUGACGGUAUCUUACCAGAAAGGGACGGCUAACUACGUG
rnacentral:rRNA from 1 species